AAAGGGAGACCUAAUUCAGGUAGGAGACGAAAAAAAAGUAGUCGCUACCAAGAAUCAAUCCCAAAAGGUCGGAGCGAGGCGAAAUUGGCUUUCAAACUAGGUUCUGGGUUCACACAAGACCUGAAUCAGGAACAAGGGCUAUUAGCUCAGGUGGUUAGAGCGCACCCCUGAUAAGGGUGAGGUCCCUGGUUCGAGUCCAGGAUGGCCCACCUGCACAGGUGGCAAAAACAAAGAAAAAAAGCUCCGAAUCAGCACCUUAUCUUACUUAUACAGUAAGAGAGAAUGCUGGCUCUGAGUUCAGAGUCCAGAGGAACCUUGAAAACUGCAUAGAGCUAGGUGAAAAAGCCAAAAAAGAAGACCGCAAG
rnacentral:tRNA from 1 species